GGUGAAGUGGCUGAGAUUAGGCAGUAAAUUGUAAAUUUACAGACAAAUAUAUAUAUUUCUUCACCA
rnacentral:tRNA from 1 species